rnacentral:snRNA from 15 species
GCUAUUUAUAAACGCUCUCAGGGCCUUGCAAAAGACCCAGUGAACAAUUUUUGGAGAACCCUGUCCUUUCGAGGUCAGGGUA